UUUGCAUUAUGCCUCUGCUUCUAACAGUCGCCAUCAGGUUGAUAGCUGAAUUUUUGCUUAUGCUACUGGGGCCUCCCACCUGAAAUGGUACGUUUCAGGCAAUGAGAUUUGAUAUGUACAUUAGUAUGAGCUAACUCUGAUUAAAAUAUUAAACUAACACUGUUUGAAGAAUCAAGGCACUUUGAAACGAGAUGAAGCAUUGGAUUCGGAUGGUAGAGGGUUCAAGCAUGGUAGGAAGUAGUAUAGGAUGUACUAAGAUUAAAGAGUGGGUGUUGUGUUAGGUCUGGGGUCUAUACAUGGCCACAUAGGUAGCGUGCCCUCCUUUUCCAUGUUUGUUCAACAUGAGCAUAUUUGCAAUUACUAGUAGACAGCUGACAAAUGGACCUGAAAAAACUGAGAAACUUAGCUGGUUAUUCUCUCACUUGUGUGACUAAAUGGCUUUUAUAUUGAUCAAUUAUACUAUGAUAUGGACAACCUGUUGUACUAAUUGAAAUAUAUAUUUCUACCAAAGUGUUGGUUAUAUAGUCAAAUUUAACAACCCUUCCUGAUGUCAGAGCUUUGUCAAGACUGGUCAUAACAUUGGUUCAAAUGUAUUUGGUUUUCCCAAUAUGUUUCUUUUGCAUUGGUGAUUUGUGAAGCCUUAAGAUAGGUGCAUUGUCUGGAACCUAAUCCCAGUUCGUACAAAAAAGUGAUUAGCCAUUUCUAGAUUAAUAGUGCGCUUUUGACAUCACCGACCGAAAACGAGGUUAGUUAAUAGAUGACAGAUUUCUGCAACAGUAGAUUGCUUGGUCCUACAGCAGUUGCUGUUCCCUUGUUAAUUAACUUAUCAGGACUGUUAACUGUGUACUAACUGCAUGCUUCAGGCGCCAUUUGCCAUCUCCUUGUGUGUUGACAACUCCAAAUCUGACAGCUCCUGAGGUUGAUGUAAGCUGAUCUUUUAUCAACGCAAUUCAGGAGCAUGGAUUUCAAUAGCUUGGUUCUUACGAGUUGUUCAUGUGAGCAUAUCACUGUGUCAGUGCUUAGUCCCCUUCCAGGCACGUACAAAUGUCAGGGGAGAAAAGUUGCAUAAUCAUUUAUCCGCAGUAGGAAUAACUCUCCUCUGCAUUUCUGAAAAAUGUUAUCAGUACUCGCUGACAUGUCUGUUAUCAUGAGUUGUUCCUCCCUUUCUUUUUAUUCUUUCAGGAGAAAAGCCUGAGCUGAAGCAGUUCUCAUCAUAGUUUUCAGCUUGGAGUACUCAUCUUCCUUUUUGACCUCCGAGGAGAAUGAAAUUAUGCACAAUAACUCAAUUUUCAGCUUAUCCAUCUCCAUUUAAACAUGUCUCUCUCUUUGCCUUGCCAGAAGCAUUAAAAUCAUAUUACUGUUCUUUAACAUUUCAGGGCAUUGUUCAUGAACAAUCAUAUGGUCGUGCAUACAGUAUUGGCUACAGUUUUACAGCUCAGUUUCUCGACAAUGUCAGGCUCUGAUCCUGAAACUUUUUGAAACAUCCAUUUGCUUGCUGGUCAAAAGGUCCUUCCACUCAAAUCACACCAGCUGACAGUUUUUCUUUUCGAGAGUUCCUGAGUUCUCGAGUGCUGGGUAUCCUCAACAGCGCGUGCAUUUGACUUCAUUGCAAAUCCUCUUGCUUAUUCCUUCUGCCAAGCAUCUUCUUGUUCGUGCUUCUCCAUAAAUCUAGACAACCUAAGCCUGAACUUUUUCUUGGAUAAUGAAAUAAACCUAAGCAUGAUCAUGCAUCUCCGUUCUUUAUCAGACAAAAACUUUUUCUUGAGUUUCUUGUCGUAAUUCCUCUCCUUAAUCCAGCUCAUUUUGAUCCAGCACCAUUUUGUGGCUGACAGUGUGCAUCUCUUGUGUUGCAGCUGAAACACGCAAUUAAGAUCAACUCAACUGCAGCAACUGCUAUUAACAAAGGGGCUCUUACUCGUCUAAUCAUGGUCGUCACGUCUUCCCCUGAUGCAUCCAUCCGCUUCAUUAUUUUACAGGGGACGUGACAGCAUUGGCGGUGCCGGUGUUCGCUGCUCUGCGGCGUCGCCUCACCGUCAGAUGUGCAUGCAUCCACAUCAGGUGACAUGCAGAACACAGUUAACCCCGGUGAUGCAGAGAAAAAAGUUGAAAAUUGGAACUUGGACGACUAGUUUACAUGAAUGACUUUAAGGAGCUGAGGUGGUGUCAGCACAUCGAAGAUAAGUAUAAGCAUGGUGGAGCAGAUGCAGAGGCAUUUCUGUUGGCCUUUCCCACAGUUUCUGAACCAGUAAUGAGAAUUAGGCUUUUUCGGCAGGACAUGAAAGGAACAUUUUUCAGCAUGUCCACUGUCUCCACUACUGCAAGUUAUCUCAGAAAGGCCUAUUGUGGACAAUAUGAUUUGAACUGUUGAACCUGGUGUCUCCUCUCCACCACCCCACCCCACCUAGAGCUCAAAUUUCAGCUGCCGUUUUUCGGUGAGAAUGACUGAUCCAAGAGGAGAUAAAAGAGAGACGAAAAAAGGUUGCUUUUCUCUGUCAUGCUCCGAUUCCAUUGAGAAGAAAAUGUGCCCAGCACUACACCUAGAAUCUUGACAGCAUUAGACACGGAGAGAUGUGAAUGUGCAUAGCCUGUGUAUAUCUUUCCGACAGUAACGUCUUAGGCGACCAAACCCUAAAAUCUCCCAUAAAACCGUGGCUAAAAACAUUGCACAGGAACAGUGACAGGUACCACUCUAGGCCUGAAACUGAAGUGCCAAACUGUUCAGGUAAAGAAACGUAUCAACUUUUAUCGACCCUCUGAUUUUCAAAGCCACUGGUAAGUUCAGAAUUACAGAAGAAGCAUGAUAUUGUCUUAACUCCUAGUCCAUGGUAAUAUCUUCUGAACUGGAAUUAUACAAGGAAACGUAUGCACUUCAUCUCAAACUUUUUCUCACUAUAGAUGCAAUUGGUAAGGUUGUUGCUGGUUUCUUCAGAUCUGCCGAAUGAAACUGGGUAUUAUUAUGCUAUCUAAGUUGAAGCAUAAAGAAAGCCGCAUGAUGGAGAGUAUAUGUAAGAUUGAACCUUUUCUUUGUCACAACUAAGACUUGGAACAAUUCUGUCUGAAGACUUGAAAAAUUCUGUCUGAAGCUUUGUUAAUGUAUGUCUGAAAACUCAGGAGUUGACAGUGAAAACCAGGCGAACAAACCGCGGUAUGAUUCAGAUGUCGCUUCACAUCGAAUUCAGAUCAGCGCGCAAUUCAUUCAAAAUUAAGUUUGUAAUGCGACAUGGAUGGAACAGCCGUGAUGUAGACAUCAUUAGUUAGUAUUAGCCUUAAUAACAAUCAUGGACCAGUUAGUACUACGUAGUUACUGUUGGUCAAACGAAAAAAAAAUAACAGAUCACUCCUGCACGAACCAACGGCCGUGCGUUUUGUAGUAGAUGGUAGCAGUUGU